UGGGGUCACACAGGUGUUGAGACCUGCCGUCUCAUUUCCUGCCACAAAGUGAGACAACCAAUCAAUAACGCGAUAAGACUUGGAAAUGUUCCCUCCUUUCUCCUGAUGACAGACGCUCUGAGACAGCUGCAUGCACAUGUACUCACACAGACCUCUCGCCCCUGUGUGAUGACUCAGAGACGGGGAGAUGAAAGGAGAGGCAGGGACAAGGGGGAGGAGAGGAGAGGAGAGGCGCACUCUGACAGGAGGGGAUGGAGGGCCUGAGAUGGUUUGAGCCAGGUGGCAGCAAUGACGUCCGUCUCCUUCCCAGCAGCGCGCACACAAGCCCAACACACUCUCCCUCUGCUGCUCUGUGCUCUCCGGUGUCAGUCCCACCAGAUCCUAUCGUGCUUGAAAUUCACUCAUCAUAUCGGGUGGCCUCACUGUGCUGCUUGCUGACACAACGCAUGAAAGGAAGACGAAAAAGCAGAAUGACAGCCGGAGCAUCUGCACACUUUGCUGCACCAAAGAAGAGUUAUCACAACCAGUGCUCUCAAUUACAGCACAAUGAAAGCACUACAAACAGGUGUAUCGGAGCAGUGUUAUCCAACCUGCUCAAUUCAGUUGAGUUUUAACUGGAUGAUAUUUACCACUAUAAAGUGGAUAAUGUUUGAAUAUUCUUUUGUACAACUUGAACUGCCACUGAUUUGGGAGGUUUGGUCUGCAUUUGUUGUAGCUUGGCAGAAGCUAGACGAGCUGGAUGAUUUAUCCACUGUGUUUAGCUAUGUGUUUCAACUG